rnacentral:rRNA from 1 species
UACGGGGGGGGCAAGCGUUGUUCGGAAUUACUGGGCGUAAAGGGCUCGUAGGCGGCCAACUAAGUCGGAUGUGAAAUCCCCAGGCUCAACCUGGGAACUGCAUCCGAUACUGGAUGGCUUGAAUUCGGGAGAGGGAUGCAGAAUUCCAGGUGUAGCGGUGAAAUGCGUAGAUAUCGUGAGGAACACCAGAGGCGAAGGCGGCUACCUGGACAAUUGCUGACGCUCAGGCACGAAAGCGUGGGGAGCAAAAGGG